AAUAUUGAAGACCUUUGGUGUCCUGAUAAGCUGUUUGACGGUAAACAUAUGGUAUUGAGCCGCAAUUAUUUGCGUUAGACUUACCGCAAGUAAGAUUUUAGUCUAGUAGUGCGGAUCUAAUGCUGUCGCUGGGCAAAGUCUACUGUUAGCUGUGUAA
rnacentral:rRNA from 1 species